AUCACUUCUCAGCCUUUUGGCUAAGAUCAAGUGUAGUAUCUGUUCUUAGCAGUUUAAUAUUUACAGUUUAGAAACAAAUUUUCGUAAUUUGACUCAAUUUAAUUAUCCAAUCAGGUAAAUAGCAAUACUGUUUUCAAACAUAUGCAGUCAUGCAUUGUUUAAUGAUGGGGUCAUGUUCUGAAA